CCCUCAGUCUGGGCCUAAAUGACUUCGGAUCCAAUUUUGUUUGUUUCCUCUUCUGUUAAGAUUAACAACAGCAACAACAAAAAUCCUGCCAGUCCCCAUAUUCAGGAAGAGUCUGGAGCCAUGUAGUUGUCAAUUUCUUGUUCUUGGAUGGCUUCUGUUUUGAAGGAGUAAUUGCUUGUUCAUUUCGUGUGAACUAAUGUCAGGAGAAUGUGGGCUGUAGUUAGUUAACAUCCAGACUUUGGUAAUCCCAUAAGAGUGUCCUAGAGUCCACUUGGUCACUAACUGUGCACCCUCUUAAAAAUAAUGUCCUUCUGGCGCCAUUGUGUUCAUGUAAGAGAAAACUCAGUAAACACAAUUUAGUGAUAAUGAAAGCUUCUUAUGUAAGUCUUCUUAAACUCUCUUUAUUCUAAUUAAAAUGUUUCCAUCUAAUGGGAAAGUGGGUGAAUAUCAAGAACUGGAAAUUAAGCAAGAAAUUUAAAGAACAUUGAUGGCUUUAUUGCAAUUUGUUUGGAGGUUUUGCUCUCCACUAAAUGGUGUUUUGCCUAUAAAGUCACUCCUUCACGUGUAAAUCUUUAUGACGAAUGGCCUGGAAUUUCAACAAAAGAAGAGCGAUUUUAUGAUGCCACGUGUAAAUGAUAACACAUGUUAUAUAAGAGAACCAAAGCGUUAGCUUUUAAAAAGCAUUGUUAGUGUGAUUACUUAAUUCGGUCCACACACAAUGUUGGGUUUCUUGGAAAGUGAAGGUCAGUGUGUCUAGGAGACUAGGAAACUGAGCAUUUUGACAUUUGUUCGUUGUUUCUUACUUAGAUCUGGGUCACUAGCAUGCUCUUGUUAUAAUUCUUGCCUCAAAAAAACCCCAAAGCAUAACAUUUAAACUUGUACUUUAUUCCUUCAGAAAUUCACUGCUGUCACUGAAACUUGAUCCAGUGUGGCCAGCAUAACCCUAACGAAAGCAGAUGCUUGGCCUGCAGUGGGCAAGCACUUGGCCUCCCUUGACCUCCCUUGGCCUCCCUUGGCCUCCCUUGGCCUCAGGGUGCAUAGAACGCCCAUGCAUGCCAGCUCUCUGUAGGCUUCUCUGUGUUGUCAUUUGGAUUUGCCUUUACUAAUAAAGUAUUCACGAACUGCAGACACCCAUCUCUGCAUGUCGCUGUAGGUGGAGGGAGGUAUUCAUGGGCGAAUACAACCUGCCUCGCCGGCUCCCUGCCACCGUCCUCCUUCUCUGCUCCUCCCUUCCUGGUUUUGUGCCUGGCAGACAGGGUCUUUCUGGAGGCCAGCCUGGAUGUCACUUCUCCACACACCCUUUCUGCAUGGCCUGUCCUGCUGGCUCCCUUUUAAUGAGCCCUUCUUUCCAUGUCUGUCUGAGGACCCUUGUCACAGCAUAUUGUAACUUGUCUCUUUAUUGGUGUUUUGAAUCCCCUAAACUUUGAGCUCUUCGGGGCAGGUGUGAGGCCUCACCUGUUUCUCUUUCCCCAGAGCCCAGCCCAGCCUGUGCGUGUGGCUGAGUAAAGGAAUAUUGGUGGAUGAAAGGGGAGGGUUCAGUGAGGUAAUGUACCUCCAAGCCAAAAUGGUAAACUUAAUCAUUGUUUUUGGGGGAAGGGAAUAAAUAUACUGUGUUGGUUUAUAUAGGUCUGAAGAUUUAGGUAGCAGAAAGCACAUGUGCACAGGGCAAUGAAGUCAGAAGCUGCGGUCUGAUUCCACAGAGACAGUCCUGAUUCAUGUUAAAGAACGUAGUUUGCAUUUGUUUGUUUUUUUUUUUUUUAAUUUUUUUUUUUUAAUGUUUAUUUAUUUUUGAGACAGAGACAGAGCAUGAACGGGGGAGGGUCAGAGAGAGAGGGAGACACAGAAUCCGAAGCAGGCUCCAGGCUCUGAGCUGUCAGCACACAGCCCGACGCGGGGCUCGAACUCACGGACCAGGAGAUCAUGACCUGAGCCGAAGUCGGACGCUUAACCGACUGAGCCACCCAGGCGCCCCCGUAAUUUGCAUUUGAUCGCCUCAAAAUCUUCAGUUUGUUGUUCUGGUGUCUUAAUUAACUGAUUAUUUAACUGAGUAACAACUAGGGAAGUAGAUCAUAAAUGUGAGGACUUUCCUUGUAAUAAGAAGCUCACAGCUCUUUUUUUCCAUGAUGUGUCCUUUCUAGCACCAUCCUCUUGGCCCGUGAAGCAGACCUGCCUCUCUGCACUGGACACAUGCUUGAGCUCUCGCCACACACUUGUUCAUGGGCGCUGCAAGAGGAGGGACCCACAGAGCUGGAGCCGGGAGGGCUGGCACAUUGGACUGAGGGCUGGCAGAACUCUUAGGGGGAUCUUGCCAUCCCACAACCCCAUGUCUGGCUCCAGGAGAAUUCCGUUAGUGAAGUGAUUGCACUUAAAACCCAAAAUUAACUCGAACUGAAUGUUACUGAAAAUGAAAUAGAUUAAAGUGCCCCGCUCCUGCUUCAUCCGCAAUCAUUAUGAAGGAGAUCCCCCGUCUGACCUAGCUUUGGGAGAGCGGGUCUGUAUCCACAUGCCCCCUGGUUACAGAGGUCUCCGUGAUCAUCCUCAUGCCCAGAUGCCACUCUCGAUCCCCUUCACAAGCUUCUCUUUUUAUAAGAGCACUCACCUCCAGAGCAGUGAUACAGUUACGUGUUGGUCACUGUCUUGUCUCCUACGAGAAUGGAAGCGCCACGAGGGCAGGACCUCCAUCCUGUUCAUCCUCGUGUUUCCAGGGCCUGGCACCGUGUACAGUCUAAAUAAAUGCUGCUGAGUGAA